GACGAACGCUGGCGGCGUGCUUAACACAUGCAAGUCGAACGGAAAGGCCCUGCUUUUGUGGGGUGCUCGAGUGGCGAACGGUUGAGUAACACGUGAGUAACCUUCCCUUGACUUUGGGAUAACUUCAGGAAACUGGGGCUAAUACCGGAUAGGAGCUCCUGCUGCAUGGUGGGGGUUGGAAAGUUUCGGCGGUUGGGGAUGGACUCGCGGCUUAUCAGCUUGUUGGUGGGGUAGUGGCUUACCAAGGCUUUGACGGGUAGCCGGCCUGAGAGGGUGACCGGCCACAUUGGGACUGAGAUACGGCCCAGACUCCUACGGGAGGCAGCAGUGGGGAAUAUUGCACAAUGGGCGGAAGCCUGAUGCAGCAACGCCGCGUGCGGGAUGACGGCCUUCGGGUUGUAAACCGCUUUCGCCUGUGACGAAGCGUGAGUGACGGUAAUGGGUAAAGAAGCACCGGCUAACUACGUG
rnacentral:rRNA from 1 species